rnacentral:rRNA from 1 species
CCUACGGGACGCAGCAGGCGCGAAAACUUUACAAUGCGGGAAACCGUGAUAAGGGAACUCUGAGUGCCCGUAAAAUCGGGCUGUCCGUCAGUUUAAAGAACUGGCGAAGAAAGGGCCGGGCAAGACCGGUGCCAGCCGCCGCGGUAAUACCGGCGGCUCGAGUGGUGGCCACUAUUACUGGGCUUAAAGCGUCCGUAGCUGGUUUGUUAAGUCCCUGGGGAAAUCUUCCGGCUCAACCGGAAGGCGUCUCAGGGAUACUGGCAGACUAGGGACCGGGAGAGGUGAGAGGUACUCCAGGGGUAGGAGUGAAAUCCUGUAAUCCUUGGGGGACCACCUGUGGCGAAGGCGUCUCACCAGAACGGCUCCGACAGUGAGGGACGAAAGCUGGGGGAGCAAACCGGAUUAGAUACCCACGUAGUCC